rnacentral:snRNA from 1 species
GGGUGUGCAGUUGAUCUGGCUGGCACAUCUGUCACUGCAUUGAUCUCCAGUAGUGAUUUGGAUGAUCUGGUUGGUGAAGCAGGUGGCUGCUCCCUACUUCACUAUCCUGAGUAUGAACUUCCCAAAGCUUCCUGCUAUUGGAUUGGGAUGACCAUUCUGAUAGAGGAGGGUCAUUCUAUAGUCAGGAAUAGAGGAACAGUGUUAUAUAGAUAGCUAAGGGCUCAUAUCUCUGCUCCAACCUCAAAUAAGCUCUUGAGGUCAAUU